rnacentral:tRNA from 1 species
GUAGGCAUAGCUGAAUGGUAUAUAGCACUUGCCUGGCAUGCAUGAAAUCCUGGGUUCAAGUCCUAGCACCACA